ACUUUUACAUCACCUUCCUACACCUAGUUCUCGGCCGGAACCUUGUUGCCAGGGGAGACGAGUGCUUUACGGCAGCACGUUUGAACGGGGAAGAGGGAAAAGUUCCUGCCUCAGGUGCCGGAGUAGGGGUGCGCGGGGAGGGGUGCGCGCUGUGCAGCCGAGUAGAAGAUCGGCAGCCAAAGGGGCUGGAGGAUCCCCGUCUCUAAUCAAGAAAGAAAAAUCUGGAAGAAAAGUGAGCUGUCUCCACAAUGUAAAGAAUUUGUCAAAUAUCUUUUUAAUAAACUAUAUUCUCUGCUUUA